UGCCCAUUAGCUAGCCUACAAACUUAAAAACAACAAACCACAUCAAUAACCCCUCAACCCCUGAAUAUCAUAAACAAAUCAUUUUUCCCUCCUAGUAUGUGCGACAGAAAGGAGCCAUUAAUAAGCAACAGAAAAAGUACCGCAAGGGAACGCUGAAAGAGAAAUGAAACAACUCAGUAAAGCAUAAAAAAGCAAAGAUUACAGCUUGUACCUUUUGCAUCAUGAUUUAGCCAGCAUACACCAAGCAAAGCGCCCUUUAGUUUGGCACCCCGAAACUAAGUGAGCUACUUCAGGCCAGCCUAUUAACAGGGCCAACCCGUCUCUGUGGCAAAAGAGUGGGAAGAGCCUCAAGUAGAGGUGAAAGAUCUACCGAACUUAGUGAUAGCUGGUUACCUGGGAAAUGGAUAGGAGUUCAGCCUAUCGACUUCUCUGCCUCAUAUCAAAUUUUGGUAUUGUUACUUAAAUAACAUAACCCCUCGUUGACCAUAAGAGCUGAGAGAAAUCAAUAGAGUUAGUCAAAGGGGGAACAGCCCCUUUGACAAAAGACACAACUUUUUUAGGAGGAUAAAGAUCAUUAUACAAUUAAGGUAAAAUGUUUUGGUGGGCCUAAAAGCAGCCAUCCAUCAAGAAAGCGUUAAAGCUCUAACAUACUCACAACCUUCGGAUACGGAUCAAAAAUCUUUAACCCCUGACCCUACCAGGUCGCCCUAUAGUACUAUAGGAGAGAUAAUGCUAAUAUGAGUAAUAAGAGGGCUUAUUCCCUCUCCUUGCAUAAGUGUAAAUCGGAACGGAACCACCCCCGAAACUUAACGGCCCCAAACACAGAGGGAAGUGAACAAACGACUCUCCAAGAAAACACAUCACCCCCUACCGUUAACCCUACACUGGAGUGCCCUAAUGGAAAGACUAAAAGAAAAAGAAGGAACUCGGCAAACACAUUUAAGCCUCGCCUGUUUACCAAAAACAUCGCCUCUUGCAAAACACACAUAAGAGGUCCCGCCUGCCCAGUGACUGUUUGUUAAACGGCCGCGGUAUCCUGACCGUGCCAAGGUAGCGCAAUCACUUGCCCUUUAAAUGGGGGCCCGUAUGAAUGGCACCACGAGGGCUAAGCUGUCUCCUUUUUCAGGUCAAUGAAAUUGAUCUCCCCGUGCAGAAGCGGGGAUAUAAUCAUAAGACGAGAAGACCCUGUGGAGCUUUAGACUUUAAGACUGACCCAUUCCCCACCUUGAUAACCCCUGGCUGAAACAUGGGAUACCGUCUGACUAUCUUUGGUUGGGGCGACCGUGGGGAUUAACAGAACCCCCAUGUGGACCGAGUGCCUACGCACUCAAAACCAAGAGUUACCACUCUAGUUAACAGAACUUCUGACUUACAAAUGAUCCGACAAAGUCGAUCAACGAACCGAGUUACCCCAGGGAUAACAGCGCAAUCCUCUUUGAGAGUUCAUAUCGACAAGGGGGUUUACGACCUCGAUGUUGGAUCAGGACAUCCCAAUGGCGCAGCAACUAUUAAGGGUUCGUUUGUUCAACGAUUAAAGUCCUACGUGAUCUGAGUUCAGACCGGAGUAAUCCAGGUCAGUUUCUAUCUAUGCUAUGUUUCCUUCUAGUACGAAAGGACCGAGGCAAAGGGGCCUAUUUCUAGAUACGCCCCACCCUAAACUAAUGCAACCAACUAAAAUAGGCAACAGGGCAUAACCCCUUUGUCGAAGAAAUAUGACACU
rnacentral:rRNA from 1 species